AUUGAACGCUGGCGGCAGGCCUAACACAUGCAAGUCGAGCGGAGCGGCGGACGGGUGAGUAAUGCAUAGGAAUGUGCCUGGUAGUGGGGGAUAACGUCCGGAAACGGGCGCUAAUACCGCAUACUAUCAGAUGAGCCGAGGGGGGCUUAGCUAGUUGGGGGGGUAAGGGACUACCAAGGCGACGAUCCGUAACUGGCCUGAGAGGAUGAUCAGCCACACUGGAACUGAGACACGGUCCAGACUCCUACGGGAGGCAGCAGUGGGGAAUAUUGGACAAUGGGCGAAAGCCUGACCCAGCCAUGCCGCGUGUGUGAAGAAGGUCUUCGGAUUGUAAAGCACUUUAAGCUGGGAGGCGUUACCUACAGAAUAAGCACCGGCUAACUUCGUGCCAGCAGCCGCGGUAAUUC
rnacentral:rRNA from 1 species